rnacentral:rRNA from 1 species
UGGGGAAUAUUGCGCAAUGGGGGAAACCCUGACGCAGCAAUACCGCGUGAGUGAAGAAGGUUUUCGGAUCGUAAAGCUCUGUUAUUGGGGAAGAAAAAAGACGGUACCCAAGAAGAAAGUCCCGGCUAACUACGUGCCAGCAGCCGCGGUAAUACGUAGGGGACAAGCGUUGUCCGGAUUUACUGGGCGUAAAGGGCACGCAGGCGGUUUUUUAAGUCAGAUGUGAAAGGUACCGGCUCAACCGGUGACAUGCAUUUGAAACUGAAAGACUUGAGUAUUGGAGAGGCAAGUGGAAUUCCUAGUGUAGCGGUGAAAUGCGUAGAUAUUAGGAGGAACACCGGUGGCGAAGGCGGCUUGCUGGACAAAUACUGACGCUGAGGUGCGAAAGCGUGGGGAGCAAACAGG